GAGUGGUGAAAUUGGAACAAGGCUCUGUUACAUUUGAAGAAAAAAGCGAGGAAAGAGUUGUUGGUAAAGUGGAAGUUGAGGCGAGGUUGUCGAGACACAGCUACCCCAAACAGCAGUUAUUUCGCAAUGGCGAGUCCGAAUGUGGUCGCGUUAGUUAUGAAGUGAACGGAAUCGGCGUGAUUCUUUAAGAAGAGCAACGGAAAUUCAUCUCAUCAAGGAAGUGGAAAGCAGCAAUGGAUGCAAUGUCAGAGAAAGAGGAUUUGUUUCGGCUUUGAAAGACGGCUAUG